UACGUAGGGCGCAAGCGUUGUCCGGAAUUAUUGGGCGUAAAGAGCUCGUAGGUGGCGUGUCGCGUCUGCCGUGAAAGCCCAUGGCUUAACUGUGGGUCUGCGGUGGAUACGGGCAGGCUGGAAGGCUGGUAGGGGCAAGCGGAAUUCCUGGUGUAGCGGUGAAAUGCGCAGAUAUCAGGAGGAACACCGGUGGCCGAAGCGGGUCUCUGGGCCGAUACUGACCGCUGAGGAGCGAAAGCGUGGGGAGCGAACAGG
rnacentral:rRNA from 1 species